GGUAGACCACCACGUUGAUAGGCUGGAUGUGGAAGCGCAGUAAUGCGUGCAGCUGACCAGUACUAAUAGCUCAAUUGGCUUGAUUUAUG
rnacentral:rRNA from 1 species